rnacentral:rRNA from 1 species
GACGAACGCUGGCGGCGUGCCUAAUACAUGCAAGUCGAGCGGACCAAAGGGAGCUUGCUCCUGGAGGUCAGCGGCGAACGGGUGAGUAACACGUGGGCAACCUGCCUGUAAGACUGGGAUAACAUCGAGAAAUCGGUGCUAAUACCGGAUAAUAAAAAGAACUGCAUGGUUCUUUUUGAAAGAUGGUUUCGGCUAUCACUUACAGAUGGGCCCGCGGCGCAUUAGCUAGUUGGUGAGGUAACGGCUCACCAAGGCAACGAUGCGUAGCCGACCUGAGAGGGUGAUCGGCCACACUGGGACUGAGACACGGCCCAGACUCCUACGGGAGGCAGCAGUAGGGAAUCUUCCGCAAUGGACGAAAGUCUGACGGAGCAACGCCGCGUGAGUGAUGAAGGUUUUCGGAUCGUAAAACUCUGUUGUUAGGGAAGAACAAGUGCCGUUCGAAAGGGCGGCACCUUGACGGUACCUAACGAGAAAGCCACGGCUAACUACGUGCCAGCAGCCGCGG